rnacentral:tRNA from 1 species
UCCCCUAUGGCGUAAAGGUAGCGCGGAGGGCUCUAACCCCUCGUCAGUCUGGGUUCGAAUCCUAGUGGGGGUAC